CUUUUGCAAUAACAAAAAUUGGAUUUGUGAAUGUUUUAUACAUUUUCCCCUAAACUUCCACGCCACAAGUUACAUAUGGCAGUAUGAAAGAUUGAUAUAAUAAAAGUAAUUAAUUUGUAUUAAGAACGUCUUUGGUUUUGUUCAGAAUUGCUAUGGACUUUA